AUGGAGACUCUUUUGUCCAGACUCUUGUUGUUGGUGGUCCCUGGUUGUUCCUUAAGGUUAAGGAUUAGGACUCUCUUGUUUGGACUCUCUUGUUUGGUGGUCCCUGGUUGUUCCUUAAGGUUAAGGAUUAGGACUCUCUUGUUUGGACUCUCUUGUUUGGGGGUUCCUGGUUGUUCCUUCAAGUCAGGAAUGGAGACUCUUUUGUCUGGACUCUUGUUGUUGGUGGUCCCUGGUUGUUCCUUAAGGUUAAGGAUUAGGACUCUCUUGUUUGGACUCUCUUGUUUGGGGGUUCCUGGUUGUUCCUUCAAGUCAGGAAUGGAGACUUGAUCUGGACUCUUGUUGUUGGAGGUCCCUGGUUGUUCCUUAAGGUUAAGGAUUAGGACUCUCUUGUUUGGACUCUCUUGUUUGGGGGUUCCUGGUUGUUCCUUCAAGUCAGGAAUGGAGACUUGAUCUGGACUCUUGUGUUGGAGGUCCCUGGUUGUUCCUUAAGGUUAAGGAUUAGGACUCUCUUGUUUGGACUCUCUUGUUUGGGGGUUCCUGGUUGUUCCUUCAAGUCAGGAAUGGAGACUUGAUCUGGACUCUUGUUGUUUGUGGUCCCUGGUUGUUCCUUAAGGUUAAGGAUUAGGACUCUCUUGUUUGGACUCUCUUGUUUGGGGGUUUCUGGUUGUUCCUUCAAGUCAGGAAUGGAGACUUGAUCUGGACUCUUGUUUUUGGUGGUUUCAGGUUGUUCUUUUAGGGCAGGAAUGGAGACUCUCUGGUCUGGACUUGUACUAUUCUCAGACUGAUUCUGAAAAAGAACUGAUGGUGUUUUAUUUCUGUCCCUAAUCUUAGCUAAUAUGUCGGCCCACUUUCUGGGAUCUAUCCUGUUCUUGGACACAUUUGUCGUUCUUCUGUCCACCAGAACUUCCUGGUCUUUGGGUCCACUUGCUUUCCAGAGCACAGACUGGUUCCUCCUGGCAUUCCUGUAGGGGGGCCUCCUCCUGGCUGGAAUCGGAGCUUCUGCCGGGAUUCUGCUGACGGAGUGGAGGUGGCCCUUUGGUUCCUCCGUCUGAGGAACCUCUGCACCUCCUGACGCCUCCUCUGCUUCCUCAGCGAGGACCUCCACCAGAGUGCUGACCUCCGCAGCAGGCCGUGGUGCUACCAGAAACCCCCUUGAGGGCCUGACUGGUCUUCGGUGCUUGAGCACAAUGACCUUUGAAGCUGCUGUGUCGGCACCGUGGUUGUUCAGGGCGACACACCUGUAGUAGCCGGCGUCUGAGGGCUGGACCUUCUGGACCACCAGGGUUCCGUUGGGGAACACCUGAGCUCUGGAGGAGUUGGUUUGGACGCCAACGAUGCUGCUGUCGGGUAGAAUCCAACGGAUUUCAGGAUCGGGGGAGCCGGACGCUGAACAGUUCAGGGAGAAGAGGCCACCCGUAAACGUCUCUAUGGAAACCACAGGUCCAUCCCCCACUGGGGGGGCACCGGAGGAGUCCAACACCGUCAGAUAAAGAGGGCGGACAGCUAAGUCCCCAUGAACUUUGGCGAUGCAGUAGUACGCACCUGCGU
rnacentral:lncRNA from 1 species